rnacentral:rRNA from 1 species
GGGUUGUGAGGUUAAGCGACUAAGCGUACACGGUGGAUGCCCUGGCAGUCAGAGGCGAUGAAGGACGUGCUAAUCUGCGAAAAGCGUCGGUAAGGUGAUAUGAACCGUUAUAACCGGCGAUGUCCGAAUGGGGAAACCCAGUGCAAUUCGUUGCACUAUCGUUAACUGAAUACAUAGGUUAACGAGGCGAACCGGGGGAACUGAAACAUCUAAGUACCCCGAGGAAAAGAAAUCAACCGAGAUUCCCCCAGUAGCGGCGAGCGAACGGGGAGCAGCCCAGAGUCUGAAUCAGCUUGUGUGUUAGUGGAACGGUCUGGAAAGUCCGACGGUACAGGGUGAUAGUCCCGUACACCAAAAUGCACAGGUUGUGAACUCGAAGAGUAGGGCGGGACACGUGGUAUCCUGUCUGAAUAUGGGGGGACCAUCCUCCAAGGCUAAAUACUCCUGACUGACCGAUAGUGAACCAGUACCGUGAGGGAAAGGCGAAAAGAACCCCGGCGAGGGGAGUGAAAAAGAACCUGAAACCGUGUACGUACAAGCAGUGGGAGCACCUUCGGGUGUGACUGCGUACCUUUUGUAUAAUGGGUCAGCGACUUAUAUUCUGUAGCAAGGUUAACCGUAUAGGGGAGCCGCAGGGAAACCGAGUCUUAACUGGGCGUUAAGUUGCAGGGUAUAGACCCGAAACCCGGUGAUCUAGCCAUGGGCAGGUUGAAGGUUGGGUAACACUAACUGGAGGACCGAACCGACUAAUGUUGAAAAAUUAGCGGAUGACUUGUGGCUGGGGGUGAAAGGCCAAUCAAACCGGGAGAUAGCUGGUUCUCCCCGAAAGCUAUUUAGGUAGCGCCUCGUGAACUCAUCUUCGGGGGUAGAGCACUGUUUCGGCUAGGGGGUCAUCCCGACUUACCAACCCGAUGCAAACUACGAAUACCGAAGAAUGUUAUCACGGGAGACACACGGCGGGUGCUAACGUCCGUCGUGAAGAGGGAAACAACCCAGACCGCCAGCUAAGGUCCCAAAGUCAUGGUUAAGUGGGAAACGAUGUGGGAAGGCACAGACAGCCAGGAUGUUGGCUUAGAAGCAGCCAUCAUUUAAAGAAAGCGUAAUAGCUCACUGGUCGAGUCGGCCUGCGCGGAAGAUGUAACGGGGCUAAACCAUGCACCGAAGCUGCGGCAGCGACACUAUGUGUUGUUGGGUAGGGGAGCGUUCUGUAAGCCUGCGAAGGUGUGCUGUGAGGCAUGCUGGAGGUAUCAGAAGUGCGAAUGCUGACAUAAGUAACGAUAAAGCGGGUGAAAAGCCCGCUCGCCGGAAGACCAAGGGUUCCUGUCCAACGUUAAUCGGGGCAGGGUGAGUCGACCCCUAAGGCGAGGCCGAAAGGCGUAGUCGAUGGGAAACAGGUUAAUAUUCCUGUACUUGGUGUUACUGCGAAGGGGGGACGGAGAAGGCUAUGUUAGCCGGGCGACGGUUGUCCCGGUUUAAGCAUGUAGGCUGAUUGUCCAGGCAAAUCCGGAUAAUCAAGGCUGAGGUGUGAUGACGAGGCACUACGGUGCUGAAGUAACAAAUGCCCUGCUUCCAGGAAAAGCCUCUAAGCAUCAGGUAACAUUAAAUCGUACCCCAAACCGACACAGGUGGUCAGGUAGAGAAUACCAAGGCGCUUGAGAGAACUCGGGUGAAGGAACUAGGCAAAAUGGUGCCGUAACUUCGGGAGAAGGCACGCUGGUGUGUAGGUGAAGCCCCUGCGGGUGGAGCUGAGACCAGUCGAAGAUACCAGCUGGCUGCAACUGUUUAUUAAAAACACAGCACUGUGCAAACACGAAAGUGGACGUAUACGGUGUGACGCCUGCCCGGUGCCGGAAGGUUAAUUGAUGGGGUUAUCCGUAAGGAGAAGCUCUUGAUCGAAGCCCCGGUAAACGGCGGCCGUAACUAUAACGGUCCUAAGGUAGCGAAAUUCCUUGUCGGGUAAGUUCCGACCUGCACGAAUGGCGUAAUGAUGGCCAGGCUGUCUCCACCCGAGACUCAGUGAAAUUGAACUCGCUGUGAAGAUGCAGUGUACCCGCGGCAAGACGGAAAGACCCCGUGAACCUUUACUAUAGCUUGACACUGAACAUUGAGCCUUGAUGUGUAGGAUAGGUGGGAGGCUUUGAAGCGUGGACGCCAGUCUGCGUGGAGCCGACCUUGAAAUACCACCCUUUAAUGUUUGAUGUUCUAACGUUGGCCCCUUAUCGGGGUUGCGGACAGUGUCUGGUGGGUAGUUUGACUGGGGCGGUCUCCUCCCAAAGCGUAACGGAGGAGCACGAAGGUUAGCUAAUCCUGGUCGGACAUCAGGAGGUUAGUGCAAUGGCAUAAGCUAGCUUGACUGCGAGCGUGACGGCGCGAGCAGGUGCGAAAGCAGGUCAUAGUGAUCCGGUGGUUCUGAAUGGAAGGGCCAUCGCUCAACGGAUAAAAGGUACUCCGGGGAUAACAGGCUGAUACCGCCCAAGAGUUCAUAUCGACGGCGGUGUUUGGCACCUCGAUGUCGGCUCAUCACAUCCUGGGGCUGAAGUAGGUCCCAAGGGUAUGGCUGUUCGCCAUUUAAAGUGGUACGCGAGCUGGGUUUAGAACGUCGUGAGACAGUUCGGUCCCUAUCUGCCGUGGGCGCUGGAGAAUUGAGGGGGGCUGCUCCUAGUACGAGAGGACCGGAGUGGACGCAUCACUGGUGUUCGGGUUGUCAUGCCAAUGGCACUGCCCGGUAGCUAAAUGCGGAAGAGAUAAGUGCUGAAAGCAUCUAAGCACGAAACUUGCCCCGAGAUGAGUUCUCCCUGAGACUUUAAGUCUCCUGAAGGAACGUUAAAGACGAUGACGUUGAUAGGCCGGGUGUGUAAGCGCAGCGAUGCGUUGAGCUAACCGGUACUAAUGAACCGUGAGGCUUAACCUUACAACGCCGAAG